rnacentral:rRNA from 1 species
UACAGAGGGUGCAAGCGUUGUUCGGAGUUAUUGGGCGUAAAGCGCGUGUAGGCGGCUUGUUAAGUCGGGUGUGAAAGCCCUCAGCUCAACUGAGGAAGGGCGCCCGAAACUGGCGAGCUUGAGUGUCGGAGAGGAUGGCGGAAUACCCCAAGUAGAGGUGAAAUUCGUAGAUAUGGGGUGGAACACCGGUGGCGAAGGCGGCCAUCUGGACGACAACUGACGCUGAGACGCGAAAGCGUGGGGAGCAAACAGG